AACGAACGCUGGCGGCAUGCCUAACACAUGCAAGUCGAACGAGACCUUCGGGUCUAGUGGCGCUCGGCGGCGUAACGCGGGGGAACCUGCCCUUAGGUUACGAAUAACUCCCUGAAGGGGAUGUUCAUAACGGAGAAUGUCUUCGGACCAAAGAGUUAUCGCCUGUUGGUGGGCCCGCGUUGGAUUAGCUAGUUGGUAGGGUACAAGCGUACCAAGACGGCGAUCCGUGGCUGGUCUGAGAGGAGGCUCAGCCACACUGGGACUGGGACACGGCCCAGACGCGUGCGAGAGGCAGCAGUGGGGAAUAUAGGGGCGUGAGCGAGAGCCAGAACCAGCAAGGCCGCGUGAACGAUGAAGGGGUUAGAGUUGUAAUGCUCCUGUACCCGGGAUGAUGAGGAGGGAACGGGUAGAGUAAACCCGGGCUAAUACCGU
rnacentral:rRNA from 1 species